CUCUAGGGGUUCCAUGCGGAGAUAAAUAAUUUUACAAAGUACACCUGACCAUAGGAU
rnacentral:tRNA from 1 species